CAACCGAUUGGUCAGCUGCGAUUUUUGAGUUUCCUGACAGAACUUGCUUUGCGCAUUCUGUGCGCAACGCUCAUUCAUUUCUAACUCUGAUGUGUGUACAGGAGAGAAACUGCGCAAAUGGUUCAGAACACAAUUUUGUAAAACAGAUUCUUCUGGGAUACUCUGGAUAAAGCUACUGGUCCAGCAGUCACUGAAGUCCAGCUCUUUUGAAGAGAAGAGUUCAGAUAAAUUAUCUUCCGCAAAAAAGCCACCCCUCCAGGAGUGGGAUUCC